CUGUGUUCAGCUUUCACUCAAACCAUGUUCUCUACAUUUCUCCUCCUGCUGUUAACAGCUGCAUCUGGAAUUAAAUGUAUUGAACUGGUUCAGCCUGCAGUCAUGGUGGUUAAGCCUGGAGAAUCAUUUCAAGUCCCCUGUAAGAUCACUGGGUACACCGCCACAAGCACCUGUACUGACUGGAUACGACAAGCAUCAAGAAAAACCCUAGAAAUUAUCGGCUGGUACUGCAGCUCCAGUGAUACUGGCAGCAAAGAUUCACUAAAGAACAAAAUCCAUUACUCAGCCGAGGCCUCCAGCAACACUGUGAUCUUACACGGGCAAAACUUUCAGGCUGAGGACACAGCUGUGUAUUACUGCGCUCGUAACACAGUGAAACAGAUCAACGAGGAUCCUGUACAAAAACACACAGUACAGGAGACCGUUAGGGGCAGAAAAUAUUUUUUCCUCUAAAUGUUUUGUCUUCUAAGUUCAGACAAGUGUGUAAAGACAGCA